rnacentral:lncRNA from 1 species
GUGUCAGUUGUCAUGCCUUAGCGGAGUGCCCGAGGGGAGGGGCAGGAGGCCCCUUGGAUGGGCUGGCACUGCGCCCCUGCUGCUGUCAGAGUGACUCAGAUCCCCUCCUGGCACCAGCCUGCUCAGGCAGUGCAAGCUGUUCCUUUGGCUCCUGGAGAUUGGGCUGGUUCUUCACUUCUUCCUCCCCUAGGACUGAGGCCAGGGAGGAGGGGUGCGGAUUUCUGUGUUUCCACCCUUUUCUCUUCUCCCAGCACAGGGGUGCGAGAGGAGGAAGUGGAGGCUGCAGUGCUGGGCUCUGGGUUCAUUCCCUGUGAUUCCUCUGGGCUGCCCCAAGUCCUGCUCAGCACAUACACAACAGGACACCAGGUGUGCUGGACAAAUGACCAGGCAGUGUGGUACUUGAAUGCAAGGGUUUCCUGAAAAGUUACCAUCAAAAACUGGGUCAGGUGGACGAAUGCAGAUGGAACAUCGGCAGUGAUUUCCUCUGAGUAAUGACGUGCCCUAAGAUUGUUCAGCACAGAGGACUUAAGCCACAGAAGGGAAAAGAAACGUUGAAAUCAGCCAAGGGAAGAAGCACAUAGUCUAGGAACAAUUCAAAAUGUGGAGAUCCAGCUGGGUGCAGUGGCUCUUGCCUGUAAUCCCAACACUUUGGGAGGCAGAGGUGAGCAGAUCACCUGAGGUCAGGAGUUCCAGACCAGCCUGGCCAACACAGCGAAACCCCAUCUCUACUAAAAACAUACAAAAAUUAGCUGGGUGUGGUGGCAGGCACCAGUAGUCCCUGCUACUCUGGAGGCUGAGGUAGGAGAAUUGCUUGAAC